rnacentral:lncRNA from 1 species
GAUGCCACCUUCUGGUGGGCACAUAUAGCAGCCUUUUAUUGAGAUAGAGAAAUUAAUUAGUAAGGCUAAGCAAGUCAACCAGCAGCAUCAGAAAAAGAACCUAGGGACUCCCAGAUGUAUGAGGCACCAAAAACAUAAAAUACCUAAAAGAUUCCAAUAAAAAUGGACAAGAAAGCUGUAGAGCGAACAACCCCUGUAAGAGCAUACCAACAGGUGGGUGUAGAAGCAUCCAUAAACCAGGAUAAGAUUUACAUAAGAUCAACAAGUGUUCUUAAAAGAACUAAUUCACUAGAAACUCCUUUUUUGUUUUUAAGAAAAGCAACAACAUUACAUUUCUCAGCAGAAAGUCUGUGCUGGGAUCCAUACGACAGUUCAAAAAACAAAACAAAAGUGAAUCCUUUCUUACAAGGACUAUAAUGUGAGUCUGCUUAUUCUAAAAGUUCUUUGCAUCAAAAGUGGAAUAAAAAUACACAGCUCAUCUUAAUUUUCUGAAUAGAGCUACUUUUCUCUCCAAAAUAUCUUACAUUCGAAAUUAUAACUUUGUUUCAGAAGCAACAAAAUUUUAAAGUCGGGUAAACUAAAUGCAGGGCUGAACAAUUAUGUGUAGUCAUGUUGAAGAUACCAGAAUAGACAUAUUUGAAUUUUGUUUUAUGUACAAUAAAGAUCAGCAAAAUCUACCAUACUAUAAUGAAAUAGAAGAAUGGCAACAAGGUGAUCAAACCAUCAUUAGUAUAUAGUAAGAAAAAACCUAGAAAUUAUUGAGCGGUCUGCUCCGUCAAGAACAAAUUGCUUGUACUUAGGGUCUUCUUCUUGAGGAAUGAGUUUCCACAUAAAGGUCGGGCGAUGAAGCAUAUCGCCUGCGAAAAGAUACUGUCCAAAGUUUAUAGCUACAUGGUGACCAGAAAUAAUCCAAAUCAUUGAGGUAAGUAUGCCAGAUAGUCCUCUUUAUAAGCAAGGUUUGGCUACCACGACUCAAUUUUCUUCACCGGGUGACCCUUAUUCAUGAUCUCAUUCCAUCAACCUUGAAGCUCAACAUCUGACUUGACAGAUUCAGGGUCAGUGUAAUAGUGCUGAAUAUGGGACUCCACUAGUUAUUUUAUUUUAGACCAUAUGAGAAGGUUGUCAGCUACAUAAGGAUAGUCCUCAAUUACAAGUUUCACUCCACAUGGUACCUGAUAAGCAAUUGUACAUCCAGGGUUGCCAAUGAUAGAGCAAGAAGCAACGUCUCUUUAUGAUAUAGGUCACCGCAGAGUUGAACACACUUAAAGGAAUCGUUGUCAGUAAUGUUCAAUGAAAAAAUUACCGAUGGAGAUUUUGAGCAACAAUAGCUAGGGCGUGAUAUUGGAGAAUAGAGAUGAAAAUUUUUAGCAACAAUACCUAGGGUUGGAGAACACAAAGAGUUUUUUCCUUUUUGGGUGCCUUAAGUUUGAUUAACAAUUUGGCAUUGGCGGUACUCUAAAUUAUUAGUAAUAGGGACCAGUAAUUCAUUUUCUUUGGACUGGAUUUUAU